GCUUGGUACACUUAUCCACUGUUCUAUAUUUUUUACCUGGCAUUCUGGUAGUCAGAUUCAGUUAUUCUUGUAUUAGGAUUUUGUAUAAACUGAGGCAGAAGAGAAAGCUUUAUUGCAUUUAUUUAUCUAAUUGCGAUAAGAAAUGAUAGCUUUGCAGCGGCGUUGUUAAAAAAAAUUCUUCCCAUCCUCCACCUAGUGUAACAUAAACAGGUAACUUUAUUUGUUUCACAUUGUGAUUUGAAUUCUGUAUCCCUGCUGUCUUCAAAGUCCUUUUAUUAUACUUGUAUUUGGGGUCCUUCUCCUCUCUCUAUUGCAUUUUCUCUUCUUGCUCUUCUUUCUUUAUCUUACAUUUUCCUCAGUGGUAGCAGGAAAUGGUUCACAAGGGAGAGAAGUUAUUCUGUUCAUUAAGUAACUUCCAAAACAGGGAGAGAAAAGGUUUUCUUUAUGUUUCAGACAAGAAAAUUUCAGUCUGCCUUGCGUAAAUGAAAAUCGAACCCCAUGACCUCACAUGUGUUUUAAAUGUAAAGCUUUGAAUAAUUUCCUAACUAAAAGACUCAUUUCCCUAAUUUUUAAGGGCUGUAGAAUUGCAUGAAAAUGAGUAUUUGUAAUAAAAAAAAUAUUCGUGGGACCCAUUAUAGCCUUAACCAACAUUUCCACGCUCAAGACUGAAAGAUUCCCAUGGAUUGAGUGUGUUAUGCUCAUACUUACAGUAUUUUAAAAAAGCAUCAUGAAGAGGCAACACAAUAUUCAUAUAGCUACUCUAGAGACAGCUUUUCUAUAAAAAGAAAAUAGUUCCUUUUUCUUAAGGCCUAGGAAUAAUAUUAAACAUAAGCAAUAACAUUAUGCUCCAGCUGAGACCUCAAUAAGGAAAUGGAAAAAAAGCAGGUCAUCAUUGUAGCGACAUCCCACUAGAAAUGUCACCAUAUUUGGUGGCGAUACACAGCAAAGACUGCAGGUUUGCAUGUCUAACGCAGCUGCCUCCUGCAGGCACUGUGAACUUCCUGGAACUUUUUGCAUGCAUUUUUCCCCCCAUAUUUUUCCUUCAAUAUCCUUUUUGGAAACGAAGCCUGAAGGAAGUAAAUUUCAGAGAUUGUGUGAAGGUCGCUGGAGCCAGGAGGAAAUUAAGCCUGUUCUGAAGUCCCAGCCACAAGAUGGUGAGGGAUUGUGUUUCUAUCCUCCAGAUAACCCAGAGGGGACAGUACAAAUCACAGAUCCAACUGAGAAUAACACUUUGUGGUGCAACUUGGAGGUAAUGGUGGCAUCUUGGGGGUGUGUAUGUGUGUGUAUGUGUGUGUGUGUGUGUGCACGUGUGUUCUCGUAGAAGGUAUUGCUUUUUUCCUUUUGUAAAAGGAAAGCCAAUUAAGUGUGGAAUGUGAAUCUUGGACAGAAUUUUCUUCUCGUUCAGUCCCUCCUUGGUUGCUGGUAGCUUAGAGCUGUUGCUACUGAAGGUACUUGAUGUUUGGUUUACGCUCCUGAUUAAUUUGGGUGGCUGAGGCAAACACGUGUGCUGUGAGCCAAGAUUUUUGCCUAUCUUAUUACCAGGAGCCUGUGCCAACACUGGUAAUUUCACUCCAUUCCUUUAGUCCUGUCAUGAAAUAUCCUCCUCACUUUUGGUGGAAAUUUUAUCUCUGUGGAUUUAAUACUAAAACUCAGGCAUUAGUUGUGUCAUCAUCUUCUUCUCCCGUAAAGAUGCUAAGGAAAAUUUUCAUGCUGAUGCUGAUAUGUAAGCUUUAUAUGAUCUCUAGAUGCCUUUAAGGGACAGAGGCAAUUGGAUUGCCAGAAAUUCUUUGACAUUAUACUUUACAAACCUUUGUAGGAUUAAAGAUCAAGGCUAUAAACUCUAGUUGGAAUAAGCCAGAAUGGAAGGCAUAUUGUGAAUUCAGGAAACUUGAAGAGAAUGAAAGAGAGAUUGUCAUUAUAAGAUUUCAGAAGCUCAUGUCAGUUGCAACUAAAUUAUAAUGACCUGUUGGAUAUUGAUUCAGUUAGAAUUCUUUUUUUUUUUAAGAUUUUAUUUAUUUACUCAUGAGAGACACACAGAGAGAGGCAGAGACACAGGCAGAGGGAAGAAGCAGGCUCCAUGCAGGGAGCCCGAUGUGGGACUCAUCCCAGGACCCCAGGAAUCACACCCUGAGCCGAAGGCAGAGGCUCAACCACUGAGCCACCCAGGCGUCCCUGAUUCAGUUAGAAUUCUUGUUGACAAGAACUCAUCUCUCGAACCACCUCCUCAGCCUCCUGCUGCCAGUUGAGUUACCAUGUCUCACAUCUCUGAUCAGAAGCCCACGGGUCCAUUUCCAACGGGCUGCUCAUUUUCACUGCAGCUCUGAACCACUCGGUAAUCUAACCAAUCCUCCACUUGUCCUCCCUCCUUCCCAAACCUUCUGGAACUCCAACUCUGGGAUUAGCAAACUCGUCUAUACCAUCGGCCUCUUCUUCUGAAUAUCAUUUCACUCAUCAACUGAAACUUUGUAGCCUGAGCAUCUUCUUCCUUGGAGAAUCUACCAAAGAGGGGUGAAUUGGCAUCUCCUGCCUCUUUACUUCAAGGUUAGGGGUGGAAGAGGCAUGGCCUUUGGUUCCUCAUUGCUGUUUUAUAGCUAUCUCCUUCCUCUUUCAACAUCCUGGCUCUUUGGAGGCCACAACAUUCUUUUCCACCAUCUCUUCUUGUUUUCAUCUAUCUACUAUAAGCCACUCGUCCUCCUUCCUCCUGACUUUCACCUCUCACUCACUGCCUUAUUUUUCUGUUCUGUUGCCAUCAUCAUUCUUAGAAAUGUCAACUUCUGCAUAGGAAAUAAAUUUAACUGGUUUCCCAAUUCCUUAAUCUCCCCUUCAAAGUUCUUUCUCUCCUGUGCAUUUUAGUUUCCAACGUCUGUGACCAAAUCUUGGGCCCUGUAAUCAGUAGCGAUUGUUUCCUCCACAAAACUGAUUUCAAACAUUUGGUUUUUUGAUUACCACCUUUUACUCUAGUUCAUUUAAAAAUAUUUAAUACACAAAUGGGAAAAUUUGUGUCAUUUUUGGGGCGGAGUCCCUGGACACCAAGCCAGGACCAAACCCAGAAAUGAUCUUUGAUAUUUAAACACAAGGAAGGCCUUAUUUAUAUUACUCACCAGCUUUCCCAAGUCCUCUGCUUAAAUAGAUCUGAAAUUGAUUCUUGUCAGGGAAGAAAGUUUCCCAUUUUCUGCUUUUUUGUUAUUUUUUUCUUUUUACAUCCCAGACCUCCCCCAUUGGACAGAUAGGUAACCAAAAAUGCCUG
rnacentral:lncRNA from 1 species